GAAAUGCGAUAAGUAGUGUGAAUUGCAGAAUUCAGUGAAUCAUCGAAUCUUUGAACGCACAUUGCGCCCUUUGGUAUUCCUUAGGGCAUGCCUGUUCGAGCGUCAUCUAAACCUUCAAGCACUGCUUGGUGUUGGGUGCCUGUCCCGCCCCCGCGCGUGGACUCACCUCAAAUCCAUUGGCGGCCCUCACGUCGGCUACGAGCGCAGCAGAAACGCGAACUUGUGGACGCCGUUGCAGGCGAAGAACACGACAAAGCGCUUCGGCGGAGCCAUGUUCUGCGCGCGCGCCUCACGCGGCACGAGCGACUCGAGGAAAG
rnacentral:misc_RNA from 1 species